rnacentral:rRNA from 1 species
AACGCUGGCGGCAGGCUUAACACAUGCAAGUCGAGCGGGGAAAGGUAGCUUGCUACCUGACCUAGCGGCGGACGGGUGAGUAAUGCUUAGGAAUCUGCCUAUUAGUGGGGGACAACAUUCCGAAAGGAAUGCUAAUACCGCAUACGCCCUACGGGGGAAAGCAGGGGAUCUUCGGACCUUGCGCUAAUAGAUGAGCCUAGUCAGAUUAGUUAGUUGGUGGGGUAAAGGCCUACCAAGGCGAUGAUCUGUAGCGGGCCUGAGAGGAUGAUCCGCCACACUGGGACUGAGACACGGCCCACACUCCUACGGGAGGCAGCAGUGGGGAAUAUUGGACAAUGGGCGAAAGCCUGAUCCAGCCAUGCCGCGUGUGUAAAGAAGGCCUUUUGGUUGUAAAGCACUUUAAGCGAGGAGGAGGCUACUUAGAUUAAUACUCUAGGAUAGUGGACGUUACUCGCAGAAUAAGCACCGGCUAACUCUGUGCCAGCAGCCGCGGUAAUACAGAGGGUGCGAGCGUUAAUCGGAUUUACUGGGGCGUAAAGCGUGCGUAGGCGGCUUUUUAAGUCGGAUGUGAAAUCCCUGAGCUUAACUUAGGAAUUGCAUUCGAUACUGGGAAGCUAGAGUAUGG